rnacentral:rRNA from 1 species
AAAGCAUCUAAGCGGGAAGCCAACUCCAAGAUUAGAUUUCCCAAUAGAUAGGUUGGAGACUACAACCUUGAUAGGUCACAGGUGUACGCGCAGCAAUGUGUUUAGCCGAGUGAUACUAAUAAAUCGAUUGGCUUUUACCUUAUAUUAU